GCCGCGGUAGCCCAACUGGUAGAGGCGCUGCACUCAGAAUGCAGAGGGUGCGGGUUCGAAUCCCGCCCGCGGCA
rnacentral:tRNA from 7 species